GACAGAGGGUGCAAGCGUUAUCCGGAAUGAUUGGGCGUAAAGCGUCUGUAGGUGGCUUUUCAAGUCCGCCGUCAAAUCCCAGGGCUCAACCCUGGACAGGCGAUGGAAACCACCAAGCUGGAGUACGGUAGGGGCAGAGGGAAUUUCCGGUGGAGCGGUGAAAUGCAUUGAGAUCGGAAAGAACACCAACAGCGAAAGCACUCUGCUGGGCCGACACUGACACUGAGAGACGAAAGCUAGGGGAGCAAAUGGG
rnacentral:rRNA from 1 species